UACGUAGGGUGCGAGCGUUAUUCGGAGUUACUGGGCGUAAAGGGCGCGUAGGCGGCUGAUUAAGUGAGAUGUGAAAUCCCCGGGCUUAACCUGGGAACUGCAUCUUAUACUGGUGAUCUAGAGUACUGUAGAGGGUAGUGGAAUUUCCGGUGUAGCGGUGAAAUGCGUAGAGAUCGGAAGGAACACCAGUGGCGAAGGCGACUACCUGGACAGAUACUGACGCUGAGGCGCGAGAGCGUGGGGAGCAAACAGG
rnacentral:rRNA from 1 species